rnacentral:rRNA from 1 species
UGAGCAAUCUGCCCUUCUCAUCGGAAUAAGCGUUGGAAACGACGUCUAAUGCCGAAUACGACCUCCUUUCGCAUGAUCGGAGGUGGAAAGCUCCGGCGGAGAAGGAUGAGCUCGCGGCCUAUCAGCUAGUUGGUGUGGGUAAUGGCCCACCAAGGCGACGACGGGUAGCCGGCCUGAGAGGGCGAUCGGCCACACUGGGACUGAGACACGGCCCAGACUCCUAGGGAGG